UACGGGGGGGGCAAGCGUUGUUCGGAAUUACUGGGCGUAAAGGGCUCGUAGGCGGCCCACUAAGUCAGACGUGAAAUCCCUCGGCUUAACCGGGGAACUGCGUCUGAUACUGGAGGGCUUGAAUUCGGGAGAGGGAUGCAGAAUUCCAGGUGUAGCGGUGAAAUGCGCAGAUAUCAGGAAGAACACCCGUGGCGAAGGCGGCUCUCUGGGACGGUACUGACGCUGAGACGCGAAAGCGUGGGGAGCGAACAGG
rnacentral:rRNA from 1 species